rnacentral:rRNA from 1 species
UACGGAGGGAGCUAGCGUUGUUCGGAAUUACUGGGCGUAAAGCGCGCGUAGGCGGGUUGGUAAGUCCGCUGUGAAAGCCCGGAGCUCAACUCCGGAGGGUCGGUGGAUACUGCCAGUCUUGAAGGUGCUAGGGGGAGAUGGAAUUCCCGGUGUAGCGGUGAAAUGCGCAGAUAUCGGGAGGAACACCGGUGGCGAAGGCGGUUCUCUGGGCCUUACCUGACGCUGAGGAGCGAAAGCGUGGGGAGCGAACAGG